UGGAAGGGUAAGACCUGGUGCAAGGCAAGGAGAGAGUUCGAGGUGGUGGCUGCUGGUUAGCUCCCUCUGGGCGCGGAUCUGGCCAGAAGUGAAUGCACCAACAUCCAUAACUCCUUGGAAAAGCCGGCUGCCUCCCCUCGCUCCUUUCUGGGAUCCGCUGCCUGCGCCUCUGGAGCCUCCCGUGCCUACACCUUUGUAACUGGUUACUUUAUUAAAGCCUCUUCACUUAAAUCAGCUGGAAAGAAUUCUGUCCUAGUCAGGACACUUACUUCAAACAGUAGUACAUACCAUCACAGUUUCUUUGGUUUGACAGCACAUUUGGACACAUUUCUGCAAAUUGGCCCUUGGCAUCUCUUCUUGGAACAAAAUUUUGUAUUUGGACUCUGGCACCACGCACCACAGAUGCAAGCAAGAAGCACUUCUACCUUCUGAGGCGGCCCCUCAAACUCAAGCCAGCUAGGCUAGGCCUGUCCAGCUUUCCGUCAGAAAGAAGGAUUGGAGAGUUGCUGCUUACUUUCUCAAAUGUCAUUACUUAGCCAGUCUUCUGGAGACUGAGAUUCAUGAACAUUGGACUCUUGCCUGUAAUUACAAUUCUGUAGUAUAUUAACCUUAUUUUCAGUUGUAUUUUUAGUUGCUUUAUGACUUCAUCUUGAAAAUACCUAUACUCUUUCUGCAUUUAUUCUAAUCUUACUUCUGAUCUUAAUUUUAAAAGAUCUUUAUCAAUGAAAUCAUAUAUAAAAACCUCCAAUAACCAUUUUUGAACUUUAAGAUGUAUUCUUAAAUUUCUAGUGAAAUAGGAUUUAGAAUCAACUUUGUGAAGAUUACUAACAGAAUAACAAAUAGCUCCUACCAUAAGGCAGUUUAUAGUUAAUGUAAAGAAUAUUACACUUGUUUAUACAUCAAAAAGCCAUUUUCUUUCUGUAAACCUCAGAGAGCUAUCUUUAUUUAAUGAAUGAAUGAAUGUUUGAUGAAUGAAUUCCUGUCAGUCUUUACUGAAGUCUUAUCUCUUAUCUGGAAUUCUUUCUUUAGCCCCUAUGGCUUCAUAAAUUCCAACCAAUAUUCUGACUUAAUUCAGAUUCCUUACAAGGAUCUGAGAAGGGUUGGAGCUGUGGUAUGGGUAUGACUGGUAGAUAGUUUUGAGCAACACUGUCACCAGAAAAUCUCUAUUUUUCUCCCAGUGACUUUUUGUUGAGGGUUGAAGAGUUUCCUUGAAGGUAAAAAACAAAAAACAAAAAAAACCUGUACUUAUCCAAAAUGUUACAGAUGUAACUUAUGGUUCAACAGAAGCCUUUGCAAGCCAGGAUACAGAAAGAACCUUGAACUCUUGCAGAAGUUUGCAGAUUCAGCAACUUCUGAAUCUGAGACUGAUGUAGGAAUGAAAUGGUAAUUCUGAGUAUGGUGUGGUACCAAGUCCUGAAACCGAUUCCAAUAUACCUACCCUAGAAGCAUGUGGAGAUCCUGAGGACAUGAAGGGCUCUGCGUGUGAUCUGGAAAAGGUGUUCCACUAUAUUCUGAAAUAUGUAUGGGCUGUGGCAGGCAGAGCCAAUUAUCCAGCAAAAAUUCAUGAAUUGUUACUGAAAAGUGACUUCUCAGAUAAGUAUUACCUUUCUCAGCUCUCCUUGUCAUUAGGCAUUACCAGGGUGACUCAGCUCUAUCCAGUGGAAUAUUGUAAGAAGUGAUGUUACUAUUCAAGAUCUGGCUCAUGGAAGUGCUCCUCUGUGAUCUUUUCUCUUUUUUUCUGCUGCCUAUAAUAAAAUCUUCUCCCAGGGAACUUUGGAAGCCUCAUGCUGAAACAGCAGGAACUUCACCAAUCUGGGUCUCUGUGUGACUGAAAGUGUAAGAGAUGGCAGAUCCAUCUCCCUGUUCUCUCACCUCUUACUGUCACGUAAUCAAGAAAUACACUUCUAUUGU